UACAGAGGUGGCAAGCGUUGUUCGGAAUUACUGGGCGUAAAGGGCGCGUAGGCGGCUUUCUAAGUCAGACGUGAAAUCCCCCGGCUUAACCUGGGAACUGCGUCUGAUACUGGGAGGCUAGAGUAUGGGAGAGGGAUGUGGAAUUCCAGGUGUAGCGGUGAAAUGCGUAGAUAUCUGGAGGAACACCGGUGGCGAAGGCGGCAUCCUGGACCAUAACUGACGCUGAUCCGCGAAAGCUAGGGGAGCAAACGGG
rnacentral:rRNA from 1 species